UACGUAGGGUGCGAGCGUUAAUCGGAAUUACUGGGCGUAAAGCGUGCGCAGGCGGUGAUGUAAGACAGAUGUGAAAUCCCCGGGCUCAACCUGGGAACUGCAUUUGUGACUGCAUCGCUGGAGUGCGGCAGAGGGGGAUGGAAUUCCGCGUGUAGCAGUGAAAUGCGUAGAUAUGCGGAGGAACACCGAUGGCGAAGGCGGCUACCUGGCCCAUUCUUGACGCUGAGGCGCGAAAGCUAGGGGAGCAAACGGG
rnacentral:rRNA from 1 species